rnacentral:rRNA from 1 species
GUGUCAGCCGCCGCGGUAAUACGGGGGGGGCAAGCGUUGUUCGGAAUUACUGGGCGUAAAGGGUUCGUAGGUGGCCGACUAAGUCGGACGUGAAAUCCCUCAGCUUAACUGGGGAACUGCGUCCGAUACUGGAUGGCUUGAGUGCAGGAGAGGAAUGCGGAAUUCCAGGUGUAGCGGUGAAAUGCGUAGAUAUCUGGAGGAACACCGGUGGCGAAGGCGGCAUUCUGGACUGCAACUGACACUGAGGAACGAAAGCCAGGGGAGCAAACGGGAUUAGAAACCCCAGUAGUCC